UACGAAGGGGGCUAGCGUUGUUCGUAAUUACUGGGCGUAAAGCGCACGUAGGCGGAUUUGCCAGUCAGGGGUGAAAUCCCGGGGCUCAACCUCGGAACUGCCUCUGAUACAGCAAGUCUUGAGUCCGGAAGAGGUGGGUGGAAUUCCUAGUGUAGAGGUGAAAUUCGUAGAUAUUAGGAAGAACACCAGUGGCGAAGGCGGCCCACUGGUCCGGUACUGACGCUGAGGUGCGAAAGCGUGGGGAGCAAACAGG
rnacentral:rRNA from 1 species